ACUCCUACGGGAGGCAGCAGUGGGGAAUCUUGGACAAUGGGGGCAACCCUGAUCCAGCCAUGCCGCGUGAGUGAUGAAGGCCUUAGGGUCGUAAAGCUCUUUCGCCUGUGAAGAUAAUGACGGUAGCAGGUAAAGAAACCCCGGCUAACUCCGUGCCAGCAGCCGCGGUAAUACGGAGGGGGUUAGCGUUGUUCGGAAUUACUGGGGCGUAAAGCGCACGUAGGCGGAUCGGAAAGUUGGGGGUGAAAUCCCCGGGGCUCAACCCCGGAACUGCCUCCAAAACUAUCGGUCUAGAGUUCGAGAGAGGUGAGUGGAAUUCCGAGUGUAGAGGUGAAAUUCGUAGAUAUUCGGAGGAACACCAGUGGCGAAGGCGGCUCACUGGCUCGAUACUGACGCUGAGGUGCGAAAGUGUGGGGAGCAAACAGGAUUAGAUACCCUGGUAGGAUAGCG
rnacentral:rRNA from 1 species